GAUGAACGCUGGCGGCGUGCCUAAUACAUGCAAGUCGAGCGAACAGACGAGGAGCUUGCUCCUCUGACGUUAGCGGCGGACGGGUGAGUAACACGUGGAUAACCUACCUAUAAGACUGGGAUAACUUCGGGAAACCGGAGCUAAUACCGGAUAAUAUAUUGAACCGCAUGGUUCAAUAGUGAAAGACGGUUUUGCUGUCACUUAUAGAUGGAUCCGCGCCGCAUUAGCUAGUUGGUAAGGUAACGGCUUACCAAGGCAACGAUGCGUAGCCGACCUGAGAGGGUGAUCGGCCACACUGGAACUGAGACACGGUCCAGACUCCUACGGGAGGCAGCAGUAGGGAGUAUUGGACAAUGGGCGAAAGCCUGAUCCAGCCAUGCCGCGUGUGUGAAGAAGGUCUUCGGAUUGUAAAGCACUUUAAGUUGGGAGGAAGGGCAGUAAGUUAAUACCUUGCUGUUUUGACGUUACCGACAGAAUAAGCACCGGCUAACUUCGUG
rnacentral:rRNA from 1 species